rnacentral:rRNA from 1 species
UACAGAGGCCUCGCGCGUUAGGCGGAAUCACUGGGCUUAAAGCGUGUGUAGGCGGACUUCUAAGUGCCUUGUGAAAUCCCACGGCUCACCCGUGGAACUGCUGGGCAUACUGGGAGUCUUGAGCCACCUAGGGGCGAGCGGAACAAAUGGUGGAGCGGUGAAAUGCGUAGAUAUCAUUUGGAACGCCAACGGAGAAAUCAGCUCGCUGGGGGUGUGCUGACGCUGAGACACGAAAGCCAGGGGAGCGAACGGG